rnacentral:rRNA from 1 species
GUGGGGAAUAUUCCGCAAUGGACGAAAGUCUGACGGAGCAACGCCGCGUGAGUGAUGAAGGUUUUCGGACUGUAAAGCUCUGUUGUUUAGGACGAAAGUGCCUGUUGCAAAUAGUUACAGGUAUUGACGGUACUGAACGAGGAAGCCACGGCUAACUACGUGCCAGCAGCCGCGGUAAUACGUAGGUGGCAAGCGUUGUCCGGAAUUAUUUGGCGUAAAGAGCAUGUAGGCGGGAAUCUAAGUCUGUUGUGAAAAUGCGGGGCUCAACCCCGUAUUGCGAUGGAAACUGGGUUUCUUGAGUGCAGGAGAGGAAAGGGGAAUUCCCAGUGUAGCGGUGAAAUGCGUAGAUAUUGGGAGGAACACCAGUGGCGAAGGCGCCUUUCUGGACUGUGUCUGACGCUGAGAUGCGAAAGCCAGGGUAGCGAACGGGAUUAGAUACCCCGGUAGUCC